rnacentral:rRNA from 1 species
UACGGAGGGUGCAAGCGUUAUCCGGAAUCACUGGGUUUAAAGGGUGCGUAGGCGGCUUGAUAAGUCAGGGGUGAAAGCCCGCAGCUUAACUGCGGAACUGCCUUUGAUACUGUCGAGCUUGAAAGAGGUUGAGGUCAGCGGAACGUGACAUGUAGCGGUGAAAUGCAUAGAUAUGUCACAGAACACCGAUUGCGAAGGCAGCUGGCUGGACCUACUUUGACGCUGAGGCACGAAAGCGUGGGGAGCGAACAGG